rnacentral:rRNA from 1 species
UCAGAACUGUAGGGACGCAUGUGGAAAGCACGAGCCGGGAAUGGAAAGACCGGUACAAGCGGGGUAGGUGUACAACAGGCAAAUCCGUUGUAUAAUCCGAAGACGUGAUGUGGAGCGAAAUAAAGUAGUGAAGCGUGUGAGCCAUGUGCCGAGAAAAGCUGCUAUUGUGUAAUGCGUGCCCGUACCGUAAACCGACACAGGUGGAUGAGGAGAGAAUCCUAAGGCCGACGGAAGAAGCAUUGUUAUGGAAUUCGGCAAAAUGACCCCGUAACUUCGGGAGAAGGGGUGCCUGCGAGAGCAGGCCGCAGAGAAUAGGCUCAAGCAACUGUUUAGCAAAAACACAGGUCUAUGCGAAACCGAAAGGUGAAGUAUAUGGGCUGACGCCUGCCCGGUGCUGGAAGGUUAGGAGGAGAGGUUAGCGUAAGCGAAGCUUUGAAUUUAAGCCCCAGUAAACGGCGGCCGUAACAAUAACGGUCCUAAGGUAGCGAAAUUCCCUGUCGGGUAAGUUCCGACCCGCACGAAAGGCGUAAUGAUUUGAGCACUGUCUCGACAAUGCAUCCGGUGAAAUUGAAGUACCAGUGAAGAUGCUGGUUACCCGCGCCAGGACGGAAAGACCCCAUGGAGCUUUACUCCAGUUUGAUACUGGGAUUCGGUACUGCAUGUACAGGAUAGGUGGGAGACAAAGAAGGAUGGACGCCAGUCUGUCCGGAGUCGCUGUUGGGAUACCACCCCUGUAGUACUGGGUUUCUAACCAGUUGCCAUGAACUGGCAAUGGGACAAUGUCAGGCGGGGAGUUUGACUGGGGCGGUCGCCUCCGAAAGGGUAUCGGAGGCGCUCAAAGGUUCCCUCAGAAUGGUUGGAAACCAUUUGAAGAGUGCAAAGGCAGAAGGGAGCUUGACUGCGACACCGACGGGUGGAGCAGGUACGAAAGUAGGACUUAGUGAUCCGGUGGUAUAAAGUGGGAUUGCCAUCGCUCAACGGAUAAAAGCUACCCUUGGGAUAACAGGCUUAUCACUCCCAAGAGUUCACAUCGACGGAGUGGUUUGGCACCUCGAUGUCGGCUCAUCGCAUCCUGGGGCUGUAGCAGGUCCCAAGGGUUGGGCUGUUCGCCCAUUAAAGCGGUACGCGAGCUGGGUUCAGAACGUCGUGAGACAGUUCGGUCCCUAUCCGGCGCGGGCGGAGGAUAUUUGAGAGGAGCCGUCCUUAGUACGAGAGGACCGGGAUGGUCGGACCACUGGUGUAUCUGUUGUCGACCAACGGCAUGGCAGAGUAGCCAAGUCUGGAAGGGAUAAACGCUGAAGGCAUCUAAGCGUGAAGCCCCCCUCAAGAUGAGAUAUCCCUCCUUCGGGAGUAAGACCCCUUGAAGACUACAAGGUAGAUAGGGCAGAGGUGGAAGCAUGGCAACAUGUGGAGCUGACUGUUACUAAUAGGUCGAGGGCUUAAU